rnacentral:rRNA from 1 species
CCUACGGGAGGCAGCAGUAGGGAAUUUUCCGCAAUGGGCGAAAGCCUGACGGAGCAAUACCGCGUGAGGGAUGACGGCCUGUGGGUUGUAAACCUCUUUUCUCAAGGAAGAAGUUCUGACGGUACUUGAGGAAUAAGCAUCGGCUAACUCUGUGCCAGCAGCCGCGGUAAUACAGAGGAUGCAAGCGUUAUCCGGAAUUACUGGGCAUAAAGCGUCUGUAGGUGGUUUGGUAAGUCUGCUGUUAAAGACUAGGGCUCAACCCCAGAAAAGCAGUGGAAACUGCCAGACUUGAGUGUGGUAGAGGUAGAAGGAAUUCCUAGUGUAGCGGUGAAAUGCGUAGAUAUUAGGAAGAACACCAAUGGCGAAGGCAUUCUACUGGACCAUAACUGACACUGAGAGACGACAGCUAGGGGAGCAAAUGGGAUUAGAUACCCCAGUAGUCCUAGCCGUAAACGAUGGAUACUAGAUGUUGCACGUAUUAACCCGUGCAGUAUCGUAGCUAAGGCGUUAAGUAUCCCGCCUGGGAAGUACGCUCGCAAGAGUGAAACUUAAGGAAUUGACGG